GACGAACGCUGGCGGCGUGCUUAACACAUGCAAGUCGAACGGAAAGGCCCUGCUUUUGUGGGGUGCUCGAGUGGCGAACGGGUGAGUAACACGUGAGUAACCUGCCCUUGACUUUGGGAUAACUCCAGGAAACUGGGGCUAAUACCGGAUAGGAGCUCCUGCUGCAUGGUGGGGGUUGGAAAGUUUCGGCGGUUGGGGAUGGACUCGCGGCUUAUCAGCUUGUUGGUGGGGUAGUGGCUUACCAAGGCUUUGACGGGUAGCCGGCCUGAGAGGGUGACCGGCCACAUUGGGACUGAGAUACGGCCCAGACUCCUACGGGAGGCAGCAGUGGGGAAUAUUGCACAAUGGGCGGAAGCCUGAUGCAGCAACGCCGUGUGCGGGAUGACGGCCUUCGGGUUGUAAACCGCUUUCGCCUGUGACGAAGCGUGAGUGACGGUAAUGGGUAAAGAAGCACCGGCUAACUACGUG
rnacentral:rRNA from 1 species